rnacentral:rRNA from 1 species
UACAGAGGAGCCAAGCGUUGUCCGGAUUGACUGGGCGUAAAGCGCACGCAGUCGGAUGCGCGCGUGGGGUGUGAAAUCUGGCCGCUUAACGGCCAGGCGCCAUCCCAUACGGCGCGUCUGGAGUGAUGCAGAGGUCGGUGGAAUUGCCGGUGUAGUGGUGAAAUGCGUAGAGAUCGGCAGGAACACCCAGGGGGAAACCAGCCGACUGGGCAUCUACUGACGCUGAGGUGCGAGAGCGUGGGGAGCGAACCGG